CCCAUUGAAGCGAAAAUCACGCGUUUUCUACUCGCAAAUCCCCCAUUUAACCUGAAAAUGACGCGUUUUCUCCUUGCAAAUCCCCCACUUAAGCGUAAAACACACAUUUUCUCUUCGCAAAUCCCCCAGUUAUGCAAAAAUCACGCGUUUUCUCUUCGAGAAUCCCCCAUUUAACCCUAAAAUCACGUGUAUUCUCUUCAGAAAUACCACAUUUAAGCGAAAAUCACGUUUUCUCCUUGAGCAUCCCCCAUUUAAGCGAAUAUUACGCGUUUUCUCUUCGCAAAUCCCCCAUUUAUCGCGAAAAACAGACGUUUUCUCUUUGCAAAUCCCCCAUUUAACCCGAAAAUCUCGCAUUUUCUCUUCGAGCAUCCCCCAUUUAAGCGAAAAACACGCAUUUUCUCUUCUCAAAUCCCCCAUUUAAGCGAAAAUCACACCUUUUCUCUUCGAGAAUCCCCCAUUUAACCGAAAAUCACACCUUUUCUCUUCGAGAAUCCCCCAUUUAAGCAAAAAUCACGCUUUCUCUUCACAAAUCCCCCAUUUAAGCGAAAAUCACGCGUUUUCUCUUCGCAAAUCCCCCAUUUAAGUGAAAAUCUCGCGUUUUCUCUUCGCAAAUCCCCCAUUUAACCCGAAAAUCACGCGUUUUCUAUUUGCAAAUUUCCCAUUUCAGCGAAAAUCACGCGUUUUCUCUUCGCGAAUCCCCCAUUUAAGCGAAAAUCACGCGUUUUCUCUUUGCAAAUCCCCCAUUUAAGCGAAAAUCACACGUUUUCUCUUUGCAAAUCCCCCAUUUAACCCGAAAAUCUCGCAUUUUCUCUUCGAGCAUCCCCCAUUUAACGAAAAA
ensembl:lncRNA